CUCACCUGACUUAAGCUCCAAAGAAAGAGCAGCAUCAGUCACGACGUCGUUUCUGCCAUUGAGUCAUUUCCGCAGACAGUGGUUCUUGCGUCUUCGAACACUUCCCUUAAAAAGUGCAAAUUUGCAUUAUCUCUAGCGUUUUCAAGCGUAGUUGCCGAAAUAAUUGUCCGAAAAUUGCUGAAAAGGAACGAGAGUUGCCGGAGACAUGGCUGUGAGCCUAGUAAACCCGAAACUCAGCGUGUCUGAUUCCCAGAUGGCAUAUUUAGAAGAAGCGAGGAGCCGGUCUGGUUACCACGUGUACUAUCAAGGCGAUGGCGAGUCUACGACAAAUAGGUAUGUGCUCCCGCUGUCCAGUGUCGUCAGCGCGUACUCGCCAACCAUUGUCUUCGCCGUAAACAUCGCUGUCGGAUUCAAAGAGUUCGAGUUUCGCCUAUUCGCUGGCAGGAAACCUCAACACAUCCUGUACCAGUACCCAAACCCGGAUGUAAAGGACAGUAAGGAACCGAUCGCCUGGCGCAAGUUCAAUGAAAAGGACCAUCCUCUAGAUGCGCCGGUCUCCAACAACCUCGUGCGCGCGGGAAUGCGCAUUCUUCGCAUCACCUAUGAUGAAAAUCUUGAAAUACAGUUUUACGUUGAUUCUGAGCCUUUAAUGGGUAAACGGCUGGUUUUCAUCGACCAACUGAACCAUGUGAGCAUCACGACGGACAACGGGUACGUUUUCGAAGGCCACUACACGGCUGAGGAUCCCUUAGGCCCUUUCGACGUGGUAGGUUUUGAAGCGUCGGCCACGCCGAAGCUCGCCCCUGGUGCUUGCAUUGAAAUCACUGGAAUUGCGGAAGAAGGCCGCGACGUCCAACUUGUAGUAAGCCAGAGGGGGUAUGCCAACCAAGAGCCGCAAUCAAGGUACGUCGUCAAGAUACCGACCAACAAAGUUAUCACCUGGUUGGUUCGCUACUACGCGAGGAAGCUGACAAUCGACUCGGGGGAGAAGGUUACUGUGUACGAGCACAACUUCCUGGCACCUGCUUGGUUUUCUGUGAGAAAGUUCACGGUGUACAACCUCUUGAUGUGGAGCCGGCACGUUUCCUGUGGCCAUGGUGCGACCGACGGCUGUACGAUCAAUAUGAAAAACCCCAAAACGAUCCAAGGCGAACCGAAGAAGGCCUCACCCCACUUCCGUCAAAUCACCGAGGUCCGUCAGUUCGGCAGAGGUGGCAUACUCUGCUGCUCGCCAGACCAUACCUGUGUCAAAGAACUCCUGAAUUGUUCCACGUUCGCUUCCCAUCCGAUUCCUGGCCUAUCCCCCUCAGUGGGUUUGUGCCAUUGACUGAAGCUUCACCAUCAUCAUCAUCGCCACGGAACAAGAACAAGGGCCGCCGGGCGAAGCCUGAUGGAACAUCGUUGCUGGUCCAUCCUUACUUCACCGUUUUGAAAGAAGGGCGGCAAAGUGACUGCGAUGAAGGAGUGUGUUUAUACUAAACCACCGUACGCUGAUGAACGCUUGCCAGGAACAUCAAGACCGGCAUGUGGUAGCAGUUCUAGGUACGAAGCUGCACAUCUGAUAUGUGCGCGGAUGCCUGUGGCUCAGAAAAUGGAGCUGCAUUGCACAUCUGCAGCAUAACAUGACGUUUCCCACAAUAACAAAAAGAAAAGAGUGACAGAAGGUUAUUGCCGCAGGCUUCGACACUGCCUGUAAACAGACUGAUUUUGUGGCGUUUCCUCGAUAUGUUGUUGUGGAGCUCCGUGCAUCCGUCACGUGAAUACAUUCCACAUGCUUUAAAUAAAAGGAAAAAAGAAAA